rnacentral:lncRNA from 1 species
CUGCCCAAAUCUACUCUUUCCACAGUUUUCUACAUACUAUUACAUGGUAUAUUAAUUUGCUAGAGAUGCCAUAAAACAUUACCACAGACUGCAUGGCUUAAACAAUGGAAAUUUAUUUUUUCACAGUUCCAGAUGCCAGAAGUUAAGAUCUAGGUGCCAUCAGUGUUGGUUUCAGGGCUGUCUUCCAGGAAUGUAGUUGGCUGCCCUCUUGCUGUAUCCUCAUAUAGCUUUUCCUUAGUCUGUGAAUAGAAAGAAAGAGAUGUCUGGUGUCCCUUCUUCUUAUAAGGACACCAGUGCUACUAAACUAGAAUCCUAUCCUAUGACCCCAUAUAUCCUUAAUUUUACCUUUCUGGAGGCCUUGUAUCCAAAUAUAGUCACACUGGGAUAUAGGCUUCAAUAUAUGAAUUUUGGGAGAACACACACAGUCCAUAACAACAUGGAAUAGCUUUUCAAUCAGUUAUUCCGGUCAAAAUACUAGGAGUUAUAUUUUGAAGGUAGAUAGUUUGAAUGUGAGAUGUUUGGGAAAAGAGGAGUCAAGGAUAACUCCUAGUACACCACUGACUUCUCAUCACCUCCAUUGCUAUGACCAAAGACCAAGCCACCUGCCCUCUCCUGGACUACUACAAAAGCCUCCUAACUGGUCUUCCUGCCAAAGUGGUCAUUUAACCCUCUAAAUCAGAUAACUCCUCUUUUUAAAACCAUCAGUGACUUCCCAUAUCCCUUAGAAUUCAAUCCAAACUCUUCCUAGUGUUGGGAAGGUAUUGACUAAUCUCCAAGUAACCUCCCCCUUGCUCAAUGGUUUCCCCAGCCAUCCUGCUUCUCUUGCUAGUCCUCCAACACUCAAAAUCCUUCCCAUGCCAAGGGAUUUGCCCUGACUCUUCUCUCUGGCUAGAAUGCUGAAUUUCCUAGAACUGCUCACAGCUCACCCUUCACAACAGUCAGACCUCUACUAAGGUUUCAUCAACUAGGAGGCCUUCCCUGACCACACCAACUGAAAUAGCCCCCAGCAUUCAAACUAUCUCAACCACACAGCUCACUGUCUGCAGCUACAGGGCAUCACUCUUCCAGAAAACCCUGGCUCAGGAAGAUAAAGUUGCAGAUCACGUGAUUGUUUCAGGAACUUCCCAAUGUCCAUUUAUCCAAACAACACUAGCUUUCAUUCAAGUAAACUCCUUUUCUCAGAUCAACAGAUUGCUCAUCUGGGUUCAUCAAACAUGGUUUAUUUCAUGCACAUCCGUGUGAAGAGACCACCAAACAGGAUUUGUGUGAGCAAUAAAGCUGUUUAUUUCACCUGGGUGCAGGUGAGCUGAGUCCGAAAAGAGAGUCAGCGAAGGGAGAUACGGGUGGGGCCCUUUUAUAGGAUUUGGGAAGGUAAAGGAAAAUUACAGUCAAAGGGGGUUGUUCUCUGGUGGGCAGGGGCGGGGGUCACAAGGUGCUCAGUGGGAGAGCUUCUGAGCCAGGGGAAGGAAAUUCACAGGGUUAAUCACUCAGUUAAGGUGGGGCAGGAACAAAUCACAAUGGUGGAAUGUCAUCAGUUAAGGCCGGGCAGGGCCUUUUCACUUCUUUUGUGAUUCUUCAGUUACUUCAGGCCAUCUGGGCGUAUACGUGCAAGUCACAGGGGAUGCGAUGGCUUGGCUUGGGCUCAGAGGCCUGACAUUCCUGCCUUCUUGUACUAAUAAGAAAAAUAAAACAAAAUAGUGUUGAAGUAUUGGGGCGGCGAAAAUUUUGGGGAGUGGUAUGGAGAGAGAAUGGGCAAUGUUUCUCAGGGCUGCUUCAAGCGGGAUCAGGGGCGGCGUGGGAACCUAGAGUGGGAGAGAUUAAGCUGAAGGGAGAUCUUGUGGUAAGGGGUGAUAUUGUGGGGUUGUUAGAAGCAACAUUUGUCGUGUAGAAUUAUUGGUGAUGGCCUGGAUAUGGUUUUGUAUGAAUUGAAAAACUAAAUGGAAUAAGAAAAGGAGAAAAACAGGUAUAAAAGGACUAAGAAUUGGGAGGACCUAGGACAUCUGAUUAGAGAGUGCCUAAGGAGGUUCAGCAUAGUCCUGCCAGCAAAGAUUAUUUAUUUACUUCAAGAGUUUAGAGUGGCAGUUUGGGGAUAGCACGAGGAGAUAUCAGCUGUGAUGGCUUGGAGAAACAGUGUAAACCGGCAGUGUAAACAAGAGCAGGGCAUGUAUGAGUAGUUGAGAACGGCAAAUAGGAGUAUGACUAGACAGAAGAUAGUAGGGAUGACAAGUUAUUUGGGGGCACAGUCUAAGUUGGUCGGGUGUCUGGAAUGAGAAUGGGACCUAAUAAAAAGAAGCGUCUAUACAGGAGCUUAAAUGGGCUGUACCUUGUAGCAUUCUGAGGACAGGUCUGACUUCUGAGGAGGGAAAGUGGUAAAAGUAUUGUCCAGUCCUUUUUAAGUUGGUGGCUGAGCUUGUUGAGGUGUGUUUUUAAUAGACCAUUAGUCUGUCACUGAAUACUAAGAGCCUGAAAAACUGCUUGGCUGAUUUGACUAAUAAAGGCUGGUCUGUUAUCAGACUGUAUAGAGGUGGGAAGGCUAAACUGAGGAAUUAUGUCUGACAGAAGGGAAGAAAUGACUGCAGUGGCCUUCUCAGACCCUGUAGGAAAGGCCUCUACCUAUCUAGUGAAAGUGUCUACUUAGACUAAGAGGUAUUUUAGUUUUUGUGACUCGGGGCAUGUUGAGUAAAGCUAAUUUGCCAGUCCUGGGCGGGGGCAAAUCCUCAAGCUUGAUGUGUAGGGAAGGGAGGGGGCCUGAAUAAUCCUUGAGGAGUAGUAGAAUAGCAGAUGGAACACUGAGAAGUUAUUUCCUUGAGGAUAGAUUUCCACAAUUGAAAGGAAAUGGGAGGUUCUAAGAGGCGGGCUAGUGGCUUGUACUAUAGCAUAGCCUGCCUUUGCUGAUGUGUGGCGAUUAGGCCUGGUGGAACUGCCAUCAAUAAAUCAAGCGUGAUCAGGGUGAGGAACAGGGAAGAAGGAAAUGUGGGGAAAUGGGAUGAACAUCAGGUGGAUCAGAGAGAGGCAGUCAUGAGGGUCAGGUGUGGUAUCUGGAAUAAUGUGGGAGGCUGGAUUGAAGUCCGGGCCAGGAACAAUGGUAAUUGUGGGACUUAACAAAGAGUGAGUACAGCUGAAGGAGCCAGGGAGCAGAAAGUAUAUGCAUCAGGUAUGAGGAAGAAAAUAGAUUCUGGAAGUUAUGAGAAAUGUAGAGAGUGAGUUGAGCAUAGUUUGUGAUUUUGAGGGCCUCUAAAAGUAUUAAAGCAGUGGCAGCCACUGCACGCGGACAUGAGGGCUAGGCUAAAACGGUAAGGUCAAGUUGUUUGGACAGAAAGGCUACAGGGUGCGGUCCUGGCUCUUGUGUAAGAAUUCUGACCGCACGAACCAUGCCUAGGAAGGAAAGGAGUUGUUUUGUAAGGGACUGAGGUUUCAGAGAUUAAUCGGACACGAUCAGCAGGGAGAGCAGAGCACGUGUGUUUUUACGAGAAUUAUGCUGAGAUAGGUAACAGAUGAGGAUGAAAUUUGGGCUUGACUGAAGUAAUGGGGUCUGUCUGUGAAGCCUUGCGGAAGUACAGCCCAGGUAAUUUGCUGAGCCUGAUGGGUGUCAGGGUCAGUCCAAGUGAAAGCGAAGAGAGGCUGGGAUGAAGGGUGCAAAGGAAUAGUAAAGAAAGCAUGUUUGAGAUCCAGAACAGAAUAAUGGAUUGUGGAGGGAGGUAUUGAGGAUAGGAGACUAUAUGAGUUUGGCACCAUGGGGUGGAUAGGUAAAACAAUUUGGUUGAUAAGGCAUAGAUCCUGAACUAACUUGUAAGGCUUGUCUGAUUUUAGGACAGGUAAAAUGGGGGAAUUGUAAGGAGAGUUUAUAGGCUUUAAAAGGCCAUGCUGUAGCAGGUGAGUGAUAACAGGCUUUAAUCCUUUCAAAGCAUGUAGUGGGAUGGGAUAUUGGCAUUGAGCGGGGUAAGGGUGAUUAGGUUUUAAUGAGAUGGUAAGGGGUGCAUGAUCGGUCGCCAAGGAGGGAGUAGAGGUAUCUUAUACUUGUGGGUUAAGGUGGGGGGAUACAAGAGGAGGACUCAAAGGAGGCUUUGGAUUUGGAAGAAGGGCAGCAAUGAGAUGCAGCUGUAAUACAGGAAUAGUCAGGGAAGCAGAUAAUUGGUUAAAAUAUCUCGGCCUAAUAAGGGAACUGGGCAGGUGGGGAUAACUAAAAAGGAGUGCUUAAAAGAGUAUUGUCUAAGUUGGCACCAGAGUUGGGGAGUUUUAAGAGGUUUAGAAGCCUGGCUAUCAAUACCCACAACAGUUACAGAGGCAAGGGAAACAGGCCCUUGAAAAGAAGGUAAUGUGGAGUGGGUAGCCUCCAUAUUGAUUAAGAAGGGGACGGGCUUACCUUCCACUGUGAGAGUUACCUAAAGCUCAGCAUCCGUGAUGGUCUAUAGGGCUUCCGAGGCAACCGAGCAGCAGUCUUCAGCCGCUAAGCCGAGAAGAUCUGGGAAGGAGUCAGUCAGAGAGCCUUGGGCCGGAGUUCCAGGGGCUCUGGGAGUGGCUGCCAGAAUGAAGUUGUUGCUGAAGAAAGCGAAAGAGAGGGAGAACAGCCGGAGUCAUGAAAUCAACCUGAAGUUUCCUCCACUCCUGGACUUGCCAUUAUUCACAUUUUUGAUGUCUUUUAUAUUUCAAACUGCCUGAGUCGAGGUUCCUUGGACCUUGAAAUGCAUCAUUUCCUUUAUUUUCUGCUGAAGAUUCCUUGUAAUGAAGAUGAGGGGAGAGAUUGGGGGCCACUGGAGUUUUUCAACAAUAGGGGAAGAUUUUAAAUAAGGGCUCUGGCAUCCCACAUCCAGGCCUGGUACUUCAUUCAUAGUGUGCCAGGAAACACAGGUCAGUUUCCCAGUGCAUGCCUGGACCUCUAGCCUAAGGCUCCAGGGCAAACCAGAGGCGGAGAGCUGAUGUUGAGGGUCUGCUUACUAUGGAGCAGCAUCCACUGCAUCUUUCUUGGUGCCUGGCCACUCACUUACAUCUUCUUCACUCCUGAGCAUCAUGGCAGGGAUUGUUUUAAUUUAAUUCAAGCAGCAUAGCUCAGGGAAAGGGGACAUUUCAAGAUGAUUUAUAAUUUAGUAUAAGCAAAUUUGAGAUAUUUUCUUUAAAUUGUAUCCUCAUACGGAAGACAAUAAACAGAAGGGAGAAAGAGAAGGAAAUAAAGGCUCUUAAAAAGAGAAUGUGUUAGUUUGCCAGGGCUGCCGUAGAAAGUAUCACAGACUGGUGAUUCUGAUGAUUUAGACAACAGAAAUUUGUUUUCUCACAGUUCAAGAGGCUGGAAGUCCAAGAUCAAAGUGCCAGCAGGGCUGGUGUCCCCUGAGGCCUCUCUCCUUGGCUUGCAGGUGGCUGCCCUUGGGCCAUCUCUGCACAUGGCCAUCCCUGUGUGCACACACAACCCCAGUGGCUCUCUAUUAAUCCAAUUUCCUCCUCUUAGGGCACUUGUCAGGUUGCAUUGGAGCCCAUUUGAACGGCCUAAUUUUAACUUAAUCCUCUCUAUGAAGGCCCUAUCUCAAAUACAAUCACAUCCUCAGGUCCUAGGAGUCAGGGCUCCAACACUUUAAUUCUGGGGAGACACAAUUCAGCCUCUAACAGAGAAGGAAGGGGAUGUGGUACCAGUGAAAACUAUCCUUUCCUGGGCACAGGACGACCGCUGAGUUCCAACAGCAUGUGGGAAAUUACAUGUUUCGUAGGUGAGGUGCAGAGGGCCCCUCUAAGGAAGGCCCUGGGCCCUGGUGAGCUCUGCUUUCCUCACUGCCUGCCUUGUUCACAGCACACCCCACCUUCCUGAUUCUCCUGAAGGUCAGGCUGUGGCUCUUCCUGGGCAGUUGCUGGCCCAUGCAACCACAUUCACGACUUGGACCCUUCAACAGAUGUCCUGGGUGGAUGUUCUUGAGCUUGGCAGCCCAGCAUCCACUGGCUGCUUUGAGCAACACUGCCUUCGCUCUCAGCCCUUCCUGCCAGCAGUCAGCCCAUUUUCUCAGAACUACCUGAAUUAUUUUUAACUCAUGAUUUUGAGCCCAGGUGUGGUGGCUCAUGCCUAUAAUCCCAGCACUUUGGGAGGCCAAGGCAGGAGGAUCACUUAAGGCCAGGAGUUUGAGACCAGUGUGAGCAACAUAGCAAGACCCUCAUCUCUAUAAAUAAAUAAAUAAACCCAUGAUUUUUAAAAAUAGCCACCAACAAGGCUUUCUGGAUUUCUGUGCCCAUGGGUUUAUUCUCUGACUGACCUGGCUAAGAUGCUGAACUACUUUAAAAAUGUCAAACGCUGAGGACUCCAAUGGUAAAAGUCAAGCAGGCUUUAUUUCUACAUGCUGGGCAAUGUUGUUUUCCUGAAUGUCUAUCAAAGUAGAUGAGCAAUGCCCAGUUGCAUGUCUCCUUCUCGUUUGAAAAUGUCUGUCUUUUGUGUCAGCUAACAAGCAGGGAUUUCUACCAAGCGUUCUUUCAAGCACAACAGGCCGACCUUGAACUCCGUGAGUUUUAGGAAAACAGUGGGGUGUUUCUUGUUGGCAAACCACAGUAAAUAUUUCCAAAAGCUGUCACCUUCCAUCUCAGUGACACUCCUGGUGCUGUCUCAUGUCAUCUGUAUCAGGCAAAACUGGUUAUUGGUCAUGUAUGAAACCAGUGAAGGAGGAGUACUAUGUUUCUAUGGAUUAUUUUCCUACAUCUGAACAUUUGAUUUUGUUUUAUCCACAUUAUAUUUGCUAUGCUUUAUUAUAUUUGUUAUGCUUUAUUUUCCCUUUCGUAUUUCCAAUAAAGUGUUUACUUCCCAGCAUGGCUGGUUUUUACUCAGUCCGGAAAUCCUGGUCCUAUCAGUCUCCAGUGGUGGAGUAGAGGAGAGAUCAAGAGCAUCAGAG